AACGAACGCUGGCGGCAUGCCUAACACAUGCAAGUCGAACGAGACCUUCGGGUCUAGUGGCGCACGGGGGCGUAACGCGUGGGAACCUGCCCUUAGGUUCGGAAUAACUCCCCGAAAGGGGUGCUAAUACCGGAUAAUGUCUUCGGACCAAAGAUUUAUCGCCUUUGGUUGGGCCCGCGUUGGAUUCGCUGGUUGGUAGGGUAAAAGCCUACCAAGGCUACGAUCCUUAGCUGGUCUGAGAGGAUGAUCAGCCACACUGGGACUGGGACACGGCCCAGACUCCUACGGGAGGCAGCCGUGGGGAAUAUUGGACAAUGGGCGAAAGCCUGAUCCAGCAAUGCCGCGUGAGUGAUGAAGGCCUUAGGGUUGUAAAGCUCUUUUACCCGGGAUGAUAAUGACAGUACCGGGAGAAUAAGCUCCGGCUAACUCCGUG
rnacentral:rRNA from 1 species